rnacentral:snRNA from 1 species
GGACGUGAGGAUGACUUGGCUGCGACGUCUGUCACCCCAUUGGCUAAUCUGGGUUGAUCCCACUGGCUAGGCAGGUGUGCCCCUCCUUCCUCAGUGCUCCACGUGUGUCCUUCCUGGAGCUGCACGCUCGGUCGAGGACAACGGAGGACUGUUCUUUGGCCAAGGGUGUACGAGCAGCUGCAUCCCUGCUAGGACCUCCAGACAGGCUCUCAGGUUUGCUUCUUUUUUUAGAGAAAAUUGAAAGAACUGUCCAGAUUGAGGCUUCAACUGU